AACAAUGCAAGGAGGGCAGAAGAGUCAAUUGCAAAGUUAGUUAGAAGUGGAGGACACGUGACAAGUGGUACUGAAAUUGAGGAAAUGGGUAUGGGGACACAUCUCAAGAAGGUCAACACACGUUGGAGGGAUUUUGUGAUGUGAGAAUGAGCAUAAAACGUGAAAAAGGAAGAAAGAGAGUAUGGAUGGAUUGAAUUAAAACUUUUCUCUCUUUGGUGGUUCAUUCCUCUAUUCAUUUUUUAUGGACCUUUUUGGUUAUCAUUCUGCUAUUGUACGAAGUUGUUU
rnacentral:lncRNA from 1 species